UGGCCAGGACGCCCGGCUAAGUGCCCGCCAGUAUACAAAACUCAAGAAUUCAUUUUGUGAAGUCCUGAUAUAUCAUUUAAUUGAUUAAAACUUUCAACAACGGAUCUCUUGGUUCUGGCAUCGAUGAAGAACGCAGCGAAAUGCGAUAAGUAAUGUGAAUUGCAGAAUUCAGUGAAUCAUCGAAUCUUUGAACGCACAUUGCGCCCUCUGGUAUUCCGGAGGGCAUGCCUGUUCGAGCGUCAUUUCAACCCUCAAGCUCUGCUUGGUAUUGGGCAACGUCCGCUGCCGGACGUGCCUUGAAGACCUCGGCGACGGCGUCCUAGCCUCGAGCGUAGUAGUAAAAUAUCUCGCUUUGGAGUGCUGGGCGACGGCCGCCGGACAAUCGACCUUCGGUCUAUUUUUCCAAGGUUGACCUCGGAUCAGGUAGGGAUACCCGCUGAACUUAAGCAUAUCAAU
rnacentral:rRNA from 1 species